GAUGAACGCUGGCGGCGUGCUUAAUACAUGCAAGUCGAACGAAAAGACCCUGCUUUUGUGGGGUGCUCGAGUGGCGAACGGGUGAGUAACACGUGAGUAACCUGCACUUGACUUUGUGAUAACUUCAGGAAACUGGGGCUAAUACCGGAUAGGAGAUCCUGAUGCACGGUGGGGGUUGGAAAGUUUCGGCGGUUGGGGAUGGACUCGCGGCUUAUCAGCUUGUUGGUGGGGUAGUGGCUUACCAAGGGUUUGACGGGUAGCCGGCCUGAGAGGGUGACCGGCCACAUUGGGACUGAGAUACGGCCCAGAAUGCAACGGGCGGCAACAGUGGAGAAUAUGGCACAACGGGCGGAAGCGUGAUGCAGCAACGCCGGGUGCGGAAUAACGGCCUUCGGGUGGUAAACCACUGUCGCCGGAGACGAGGCGUGAGUGACGGUAAUGGGUAAAAAAGCACCGGCUAACUACGUG
rnacentral:rRNA from 1 species